rnacentral:lncRNA from 1 species
UUUUUUUUCACACUAAAUGUAUAUUUUAAUUAUAAAACAAGAAUAUGAACAAAACAUUUUAAAAUAAUCUCAAUUAUUUGGCAACUCAUCACAUCAAUGCAAUAGACAAAUUUGACCUUAAGAAAAGUUUAAUUUUAUGAAAAACUUAAGUUGCACAGUUUGUUCGUAUGGGAGUUAAAACAUGUUUAAAAAAGAACCAGGCAGUAAAACCAGCUUCUCUCCUGAAAUGACUGUGUAUAAAAACAACGUAAAAUCCUGAAGCUGAGUUGGUGGGAGUGACCACUUCCCUUCGCUGAGAGACAAGAUGUGGGAUCUUGAGGAAGCCAGGAAAGCACAGAGCCAGAAGAACAUGACAGAGGGCUCCUGCUGCAGAGGAUGGGCCGACUUUACCUGAACCAGAAUCUAACGUCACAGGGGCUGGUGGUAAAGUCACAGAUGUGAGUAUAAUAAUCUAAAAACAAGUUACAUUCUUAAAAAGCAGUCACAACUGAACAGAAAAGCAACGGAGACCCUUUCUUUCACUACACUACUUUACUUGGAUACAUGCGAAUGUCUGUAUUUCCAGCCAGGUCAUAGUCAGAUAGUUACAGGGCAGGCAGAGUCCUACAAAGGUUUCUACUAAUGACUGCAUAGCAUUUAAAACCUUUUUUAUUAAAAAAAAAAAAAACAAUAAAAUAAAAUAAACAUAUAUGGUAAAGUUCACAGAUAAGUUUUCUCUGUAAAAUAAAUAAAGUGUUCAUUGAUUAGCAUCAUACACAGAGUAAAAUACAGCCUAUUUUUACAUGUUUAUAUACUAUACACAGAUCACCGGUCGGCAGCCUGGCGCCUGAUGGGCUGGGAGGGUUUGCUUUUGUGAUGUGUCACAUUGGGAAAUCCCAAUUUUGAAUGUUAAAAUAUACAACUACUUUGUUUUGAGUUCAGAUACAAAGUAAACUUAUUUUCCUUUAUCUGAAAUAAACGUACCUCAGAGCCAGAAAGAAAAUGCCAGAAAUCGAUCUCUGAAUCACCUGAGGACAAAAAAAGAUCAGGAGUCUGAUGAGGAAGAGGAAGAAGAGGAAGAGGAUGAACCCUUGGGAGCCACCACUCGGUCCACCACCAGAUCAGAGGCACAGAGAUUAAAGACACAGCUGUCCUCUUCUACCAAGCGCAAGAGAGAAGUGAGUCCUCCUGGGGCCCGGACCCAAGGCCAGCAGAGAGUAGAGGAAGGCCCUGUGAAGAAGGCAAAGCGGUAAUGCCGGCCGCUCGUCCCCAGCUUCCGAGGAGCACAGCGGAUAGAAAAGGGACAGGACAGGGACGCGCCUCUUGGCCAUAGGCUUUUGUUUUUCUUUUUUAACCGAGAAAAGGAUAUGCGAGUGCCGUAAGUUCCUAGGUGCAAGCUUUUUCUCGUUAUGUUUUAAAC